UCAUACGUGAACGUGAUAGCUGAAAGCUGAUACCGCAGACUUCUGUAGUCUCUGAUAUUACCACACUGUUUUGGUUUCGGAUUUUGGCUUUAUUGUGUUGGUUGAUUCGUUACUUACUAAGACCAUGAUGUAGUUCGAGAGGCUAAAUACGUAGAUAUAGAUCUGGAAGCUUAUCUUUUGAUUUUUAACUUAGAUCAAUUACAUUUUUAAGGUGUGAAGGGGUAUAUAAGCUGACCAGAUGCAAGGUAGUUUAUCAUGAGAAAUAGUCACCUCCUUGAUUACAUGGGCGUGUCAUUUGACUAUUUUGAGAUAUUUACUUGAUAUUAUAUUUAUAUUUUGUGAUAUUGCAAUUUCAUCGCCAUUCAGGCCAGAAAGUUUAAUUUUUAUCAUACAUGUGAUAAUGACAGAUGGUUAGAUCCAAAUGCUUGACAGCAUUUGCUAAUGUAAACAGAUUUCUUUUCAGCCUCAUUCAUUCUGUAUUAUAUCCAGGUUCCUUUGGUGAGUAAUGGAAAUAACACUGCAGCUCAUCCGAAUAAAAUGCAUCAAGGGCAACGAAAGGGGAAUGGAGCCAUGGAUAUGCAAAGACUGGCUGGCUAAGGGGUUAAAGUUCUUUGAGAUAUAUUGAUGGGUGAACAAAGUUAGACAUCCUCAAUCAUGUGAAUGUUUCCUGAAAAGUUUUAUAGAGUCACAGAAAAUAUUCCUUAAAUUAGUUAUUUUUUCAUUGUGGGUGAUUUAACAGAACAUUUAAAGACAGUUAUAUAUAAUAUUCCGUUUUUUUAACGAUGGGAGUGGUAAAUGUAAUGGGUCGAUUUGCAUGAUUCUCCAAUAGGAUAUCUACUUCGAUCCUAAGUCUUAACUCUGGAUACCGGACGGUGGGUACAUCCAUCAAAUUGAUCCAGCAGAACGAAGUGCCUUAAAGUCGGAAAAGUUAGGCGGUUGCUUUCUACAGUAUAUGGAACGGCAGCGUGAUCAACUUGUAGCCAUCCUCACAGUUUUACUGAUUAGAGAGUAAAUCCGGGCUCUCGGUCAGUGUAGAAAAGGCGGUACGUGAAGUUUUCACCAACCUCGGAACUUGCAGAAGAUCAGGCAGCUUGUCUUCUACCUAUAAGUUACACACUAGUCACCUUUCCGUGCGAUAUGAAAGUGAAGGUUUAAGACGGUGAGGAGCGAAAUUGGCCGUGAAUUUUCCUGUUUGCGAUUUGUUCCGACUUCUAUUUUUAUUUAUUUUUAAAUUCCCGGACAGUUUAUUUUCAUUUCUAUUAAAAUUUAUUCUUUGUCUUAGGUUGGUAUUAAGAAAUUAUUGAAUAUUUGUAGGGGAUUUAGUUUGUUAGAGCCGCUGAACUGUAGAAAAACAUUUUGUGCGCUUAUAAUGUAAUGUAGGCUAAAGACCUCCUGUCAUCCUGCAUUUUUGGUCAUUUGACUUCGUUAACACUUGGGACAAAAUAAUUUAACUGAAAUACCUAUUACUGUUCGAGUAGGAUGAAAUUUUUUGAUGACUUCAGAUCAUAAUAUAUCCGGGACCAGUUUUUAACUAUUUUCAUAAACAUCCGCAUGACUUGUUCCGACGAAAACUUUUAUUUCUCCUUUUCUAUCAAACUGCCUCCUUUCUAGGGUGUUUUAUAGACUUUCUCGAUUCGAUUCUUAUUUACUUUCGAAAUUUGAGAUUGAGUAUUAUUCCUUUAGUUUUACUCCCUGCUUUGUCCGUGUUUUCUCCUUAUCUUUCAUGGAAGAAGAUUCACUUAUACCUUUCAAUGUUUAACAAUUAAUGGGUACAUAUCCUCCCCUGUCUUAACCCCUCCCCCCUCUUUUUUGUGUGUGAUCCGUGUGCGUAUUUUUUCGUCAGGACUGGAGAGUUUGGAAGUUGUGAUGAGAGGGUAUGUGUCUUAAGAAGUUAAAAAAAAGAAACAAGUUCCAGGAAUGAUUUAAAUGUGUGUAACCCCUUCACACUCGUUUUUUCCGGCGUGUUGGAGUAAACGAUGGAUAAACUAA
rnacentral:lncRNA from 1 species